GCGGGAAUAGCUCAGUUGGUAUAGCAUAACCUUGCCAAGGUUGGGGUCGCGAGUUCGAGUCUCGUUUCCCGCUCCA
rnacentral:tRNA from 1 species